CGAACGCUGGCGGCGUGCUUAACACAUGCAAGUCGAACGGAAAGGCCCUGCUUUUGUGGGGUGCUCGAGUGGCGAACGGGUGAGUAACACGUGAGUAACCUGCCCUUGACUUUUGGAUAACUUCAGGAAACUGGGGCUAAUACCGGAUAGGAGCUCCUGCUGCAUGGUGGGGGUUGGAAAGUUUCGGCGGUUGGGGAUGGACUCGCGGCUUAUCAGCUUGUUGGUGGGGUAGUGGCUUACCAAGGCUUUGACGGGUAGCCGGCCUGUGAGGGUGACCGGCAACAUUGGGACUGAGAUACGGCCCAGAAUCCUACGGGAGGCAGCAGUGGGGAAUAUUGCAAAAUGGGCGGAAGCCUGAUGCAGCAACGCCGCGUGCGGGAUGACGGCCUUCGGGUUGUAAACCGAGUUCGCACGUGACGAAGCGUGAGUGACGGUAAUGGGCAAAGAAGCACCGGCUAACUACGUG
rnacentral:rRNA from 1 species